rnacentral:rRNA from 1 species
GGGAAAGGGGUGGCAUGGGGGGCGGGAAUAGUGAGGGGGCGAGCGUUGUCCGGGGUGAUGGGGCGGAAAGAGGGUGUGGGCGGCGAGGGAGGUCUGCUGUGAAAACCCGAGGCUUAACCUCGAGCUGUCGGCGGAAACCAUCUGGCUAGAGUCCGGAAGAGGAGAAUGGAAUUCCCGGUGUAGCGGUGAAAUGCGCAGAUAUCGGGAAGAACACCCGUGGCGAAGGCGGUUCUCUGGGACGGUACUGACGCUGAGACGCGAAAGCGUGGGGAGCGAACAGGAUUAGAUACCCUAGUAGUC